rnacentral:rRNA from 1 species
GACGAACGCUGGCGGCGUGCUUAACACAUGCAAGUCGAACGGAAAGGCCCUGCUUUUGUGGGGUGCUCGAGUGGCGAACGGGUGAGUAACACGUGAGUAACCUGCCCUUGACUUUGGGAUAACUUCAGGAAACUGGGGCUAAUACCGGAUAGGAGCUCCUGCUGCAUGGUGGGGGUUGGAAAGUUUCGGCGGUUGGGGAUGGACUUGCGGCUUAUCAGCUUGUUGGUGGGGUAGUGGCUUACCAAGGCUUUGAUGGGUAGCCGGCCUGAGAGGGUGACCGGCCACAUUGGGACUGAGAUACGGCCCAGACUCCUACGGGAGGCAGCAGUGGGGAAUAUUGCACAAUGGGCGGAAGCCUGAUGCAGCAACGCCGCGUGCGGGAUGACGGCCUUCGGGUUGUAAACCGCUUUCGCCUGUGACGAAGCGUGAGUGACGGUAAUGGGUAAAGAAGCACCGGCUAACUACGUG